CCCCCGGCGCCACAAGUGGUUAUCACGAUUAUUGGGCCUAAAGCGCUCGUAGCUGGUUUGGUAAAUCUCUUGUGAAAUUUGUUCGGCUUAACCGGACAGCGUGCAGGAGAGACUGCCAGACUCGAGACCGGGAGGGGUUAGAAGUAUGUCGUGGGGACUGGUAAAAUGGGGAUAAUCCACGAUAGACUACCGAUGGCGAAGGCAUCUAACCAGAACGGAUCUGACAGUGAGGAGCGAAAGCCAGGGGAGCGAACCGG
rnacentral:rRNA from 1 species